rnacentral:lncRNA from 1 species
AGCUCAGAGAUGCAAAAAGCCUGCGGCGCUCGGGAGGCGCCUGGUCCUGGGGACCUCUUUCCUCCACUCUGUUCUCAGCAUAGGAAGAUGGGGCUGGGGAAUUCUUUUUGGUUUUCUGGUUUUGUUUUGCUCUGGUUUUGGUCGGGUUUUGUAUUUUUCUACUCUUCCUUGGUUUUAUUUUUUCCUUUUUUUUUAUUUUUUGCUUUUUCUUUCCUGUCAUUUUCCCAGCCAAAAGCCGCCUUCGACCCUUUUGAUUUGAUGUAGCAAAGAGUGUGUGUCCAGAUUAUCUGAAAUAGACACAGAAGAAGCUACACAGAUGGUCAAGCAGGGCCCGGAAGAAGACCAUUCAGGAAAAAGCGGUCCAGGAUUCGGUGAUGGGCUGCCGGCAGACCAGUGUGGCUCAGACCUGGUGACUUUUUGGAGAGGCCGUAGAAUGAGGACAGCAGACACACGAGGACCUUGACUUCGGCGCACAGACAGUGCAAAAAGAAGACAAAGACGGACAGAAUCGAAAAAGAGCGUAUUUCCCCCUCCUACGUAUUUGUUUUUCCUGAUAGUCUCACAAAGCUGAGAGUCUGGUCGGGUCCAGCCGGUUAUCUUGUGGCACUGGCUGUUUCCAGUGGCUGUGCCUGCGCUUUGAGG